rnacentral:rRNA from 1 species
GUGGGGAAUCUUCCGCAAUGGACGAAAGUCUGACGGAGCAACGCCGCGUGAGUGAAGAAGGUUUUCGGAUCGUAAAGCUCUUUCGUUAGGGACGAACGUGCUCUUUGUGAAUAAUGAGGAGUAAUGACGGUACCUAAAUAAGAAGCCACGGCUAACUACGUGCCAGCAGCCGCGGUAAUACGUAGGUGGCAAGCGUUGUCCGGAAUUAUUGGGCGUAAAGCGCGCGCAGGCGGGAUAUCAAGUCUGUCUUAAAAGUGCGAGGCUCAACCUCGUGAGGGGACAGAAACUGGUAUUCUUGAGUGUCGGAGAGGAAAGUGGAAUUCCAAGUGUAGCGGUGAAAUGCGUAGAUAUGGGGAGGAACACCAGUGGCGAAGGCGGCUUUCUGGACGGUGUCUGACACUGAGGCGCGAAAGCCAGGGGAGCGAACGGGAUUAGAAACCCCUGUAGUCC